rnacentral:rRNA from 1 species
GAACCUUACCAGCCCUUGACAUGUGACUCGCCGGGAGCAGAGACGCUCCCUUCGGUUCGGCCGGAGUCAACACAGGUGCUGCAUGGCUGUCGUCAGCUCGUGUCGUGAGAUGUUGGGUUAAGUCCCGCAACGAGCGCAACCCUCGUCUCCAGUUGCCAUCAGGUUAUGCUGGGCACUUUGGAGAAACUGCCGGUGACAAGCCGGAGGAAGGUGGGGAUGACGUCAAGUCAUCAUGCCCCUUAUGUCCAGGGCUUCACACAUGCUACAAUGGCCGGUACAAAGGGCUGCUAAGCCGUGAGGUGGAGCGAAUCCCAUAAAGCCGGUCUCAGUUCGGAUCGGGGUCUGCAACUCGGCCCCGUGAAGUCGGAGUCGCUAGUAAUCGCAGAUCAGCAACGCUGCGGUGAAUACGUUCCCGGGCCUUGUCACACCGA